UACGUAGGGUGCAAGCGUUGUCCGGAAUUAUUGGGCGUAAAGAGCUCGUAGGCGGUCUGUCGCGUCGGCUGUGAAAACCCGGGGCUCAACCCCGGGCCUGCAGUCGAUACGGGCAGACUAGAGUGUGGUAGGGGAGACUGGAAUUCCUGGUGUAGCGGUGAAAUGCGCAGAUAUCAGGAGGAACACCGGUGGCGAAGGCGGGUCUCUGGGCCAUAACUGACGCUGAGGAGCGAAAGCCAGGGGGGCAAACGGG
rnacentral:rRNA from 1 species